AUACUUACCUGGCAGGGGAGCUACCUUGAUGAUGAAGGUGGUUUUCUCAGGUCUAAGGCUUAUCCAUUGCACUGCGGAUGUGCUGACCGCUGUGAUUUCUCUCAAAUGUGGGAAACUCGACUGCAUAAUUUGUGGUAGUGGGGGACUGCAUUCACACUCUCCUG
rnacentral:snRNA from 1 species